UAUACUGUGAAACUGCGAAUGGCUCAUUAAAUCAGUUAUCGUUUAUUUGAUAGUACCUUUACCUGGAUAACCGUGGUAAUUCUAGAGCUAAUACAUGCUAAAAACCUCGACUUCGGAAGGGGUGUAUUUAUUAGAUAAAAAACCAAUGCCCUUCGGGGCUCCUUGGUGAAUCAUAAUAACUUAACGAAUCGCAUGGCCUUGCGCCGGCGAUGGUUCAUUCAAAUUUCUGCCCUAUCAACUUUCGAUGGUAAGAUAGAGGCUUACCAUGGUCUUAACGGGUAACGGGGAAUUAGGGUUCUAUUCCGGAGAGGGAGCCUGAGAAACGGCUACCACAUCCAAGGAAGGCAGCAGGCGCGCAAAUUACCCAAUCCCGACACGGGGAGGUAGUGACAAUAAAUACUGAUACGGGGCUCUUUUGGGUCUCGUAAUUGGAAUGAGUACAAUCUAAAUCCCUUAACGAGGAACAAUUGGAGGGCAAGUCUGGUGCCAGCAGCCGCGGUAAUUCCAGCUCCAAUAGCGUAUAUUAAAGUUGUUGCCGUUAAAAAGCUCGUAGUUGAACCUUGGGCCUGGCUGACCUGUCCUCCUAAUCGAGCGCACGGGUUCGGUCGGGCCUUUCCUUCUAGGGAACCCCAUGCCCUUCACUGGGUGUGGUGGGGAACUAGGACUUUUAC
rnacentral:rRNA from 1 species